GAUCCUGGCUCAGGACGAACGCUGGCGGCGCGCCUAACACAUGCAAGUCGAACGGAGCUUAGAGAGCUUGCUUUUUUAAGCUUAGUGGCGAACGGGUGAGUAACGCGUGAGUAACCUGCCCUAGAGUGGGGGACAACAGUUGGAAACGACUGCUAAUACCGCAUAAGCCCACGGUACCGCAUGGUACUGAGGGAAAAGGAUUUAUUCGCUUUAGGUAGUGGACUCGCGUCCAAUUAAGCUAGUUGGUUGAGGUAAACGGG
rnacentral:rRNA from 1 species